rnacentral:rRNA from 1 species
GACGAACGCUGGCGGCGUGCUUAACACAUGCAAGUCGAACGGAAAGGCCCUGCUUUUGUGGGGUGCUCGAGUGGCGAACGGGUGAGUAACACGGGAGUAACCUGCCCUUGACUGUGGGAUAACUUCAGGAAACUGGUGCUAAUACCGGCUAGGAGCGCCUGCUGCAGGGUGGUGGUUGGAAAUUUUCGGCGGUUGGGUAUGGACUCGCGGCUUAUCAGCUUGUUGGUGGGGUAGUGGCUUACCAAGGCUUUGACGGGUAGCCGGCCUGAGAGGGUGACCGGCCCCAUUGGGCCUGAGAUACGGCCCAGACUCCUACGGGAGGCAGCAGUGGGGAACAUUGCACGAUGGGCGGAAGCCUUAUGCAGCAACGCCGCGUGCGGGAUGACGGCCUUCGGGUUGUAACCCGUUUUCGCCUGUGACGAAGCGUGAGUGACGGUAAUGGGUAAAGAAGCACCGGCUAACUACGUG